rnacentral:rRNA from 1 species
GAUGAACGCUGGCGGCGUGCCUAAUACAUGCAAGUCGAGCGAACAGACGAGGAGCUUGCUCCUCUGACGUUAGCGGCGGACGGGUGAGUAACACGUGGAUAACCUACCUAUAAGACUGGGAUAACUUCGGGAAACCGGAGCUAAUACCGGAUAACAUGUUGAACCGCAUGGUUCAACAGUGAAAGUCGGUUUUGCUGUCACUUAUAGAUGGAUCCGCGCCGCAUUAGCUAGUUGGUAAGGUAACGGCUUACCAAGGCAACGAUGCGUAGCCGACCUGAGAGGGUGAUCGGCCACACUGGAACUGAGACACGGUCCAGACUCCUACGGGAGGCAGCAGUAGGGAAUCUUCCGCAAUGGGCGAAAGCCUGACGGAGCAACGCCGCGUGAGUGAAGAAGGUCUUCGGAUCGUAAAACUCUGUUAUUAGGGAAGAACAAAUGUGUAAGUAACUAUGCACGUCUUGACGGUACCUAAUCAGAAAGCCACGGCUAACUACGUG